rnacentral:rRNA from 1 species
GAUGAACGCUAGCGGCAGGCCUAACACAUGCAAGUCGAGGGGUAGAGCACUUCGGUGUUUGAGACCGGCGCACGGGUGCGUAACGCGUAUGCAAUCUACCUUGUACAGGGGAAUAGCCCAGAGAAAUUUGGAUUAAUGCCCCAUAGUAUAUAACCUUCGCAUGUUGGUUAUAUUAAAGUUCCAACGGUACAAGAUGAGCAUGCGUCCCAUUAGUUAGUUGGUAAGGUAACGGCUUACCAAGACGAUGAUGGGUAGGGGUCCUGAGAGGGAGAUCCCCCACACUGGUACUGAGACACGGACCAGACUCCUACGGGAGGCAGCAGUGAGGAAUAUUGGUCAAUGGUCGAAAGACUGAACCAGCCAUGCCGCGUGCAGGAAGACGGUCCUAUGGAUUGUAAACUGCUUUUAUACAGGAAGAAACCCUCCCACGUGUGGGAGCUUGACGGUACUGUAGGAAUAAGGAUCGGCUAACUCCGUGCCAGCCGCCGCCGUAA